UACGUAGGGUGCGAGCGUUGUCCGGAAGUAUGGGGCGUAAAGAGCUUGUAGGCGGUUUGUCGCGUCUGCCGUGAAAAUCCGGGGCUCAACCCCGGACUUGCAGUGGGUACGGGCAGACUAGAGUGUGGUAGGGGAGACUGGAAUUCCUGGUGUAGCGGUGAAAUGCGCAGAUAUCAGGAGGAACACCGAUGGCGAAGGCAGGUCUCUGGGCCACUACUGACGCUGAGAAGCGAAAGCAUGGGGAGCGAACAGG
rnacentral:rRNA from 1 species